rnacentral:lncRNA from 1 species
AAAUAAUUAGUAUUUAAAACACUUUUAGUCGUCCAUAUAACUAGUAUUUGAUAAUAUACAUGUAAAUUUAAAAAAAAUAAAUUAAAACCGCAUAUCGCACAUAUUUUAAUCUAAUAUGUAAUUAAAAUGAAAAAUAUAUCAAAUGACAUACACAUAAUUAACAACAAUACACAUAAUUAGCAACAAAACAACUAGACAAAAACAACAUAUUAUCAUACAUUUUCAUCAAACUAUACAAAAAUUACUAUAUCAAUUAUUUAAUGAAUACAAAACUAACAACAUCAAUCUAACACAAAACAAACAAACAAUUCCACUUUAUCUUCUUAUUCUUCUUCAU